ACAAUUUAAUGCCUAUUUUUGUCACAUAAGAGGCCAAAGAUUCCAGAUGGUUAACAUUUUAAUUGAAGUUAACAUGGAAGAUAAAUGAAACAAGCUUGACUGGUCAGUAGAAAUUAGGUUCUCUGCAAUUUUGAAGGUGAAGAGAAAAUUGAACUGUCACUAACAUGAGGACUUCAAAAGGAAUAGUGGGACAACCCAGGAGAGAAAGCGUGGGACUCCCAGAGAUGGAGGCUGAGGCAAUGUGUCCCAGCAUGUGAGCGGCAGGCUUGGAUGUGGAUUCCCUCCAUGUAGCAACAGCACGAACCAGCCCUAGACUUACUCUUUUUUUUUUCCCAACGGAUGACCUGGACAUUCUGAAGUUGCAUUAAUAGCAAGUUUAUAUUCCUAAUAUAAAUACAUCUCCUCUGAGUCUUGGAAAAUGGGAUCAACUUAAUUGUCUCCACAUGUAUGCUCUGGGGAGCCUGGUCCUCACUGAACCCCAGUUACAAAACCUACAGCAAAUUUUUGUCCAGAUCACUGUCCAUCCAGCUUGCCGUGUUCUGGAGGAAGAUGUUUUGUUUUAUAGUUUGUGCUAUAGUCAUGAGAACAAGCAGCUUGUGUUCUAUAUCUUCUUACUUUUUGAAGCAAGUGUGCUGGGUACUGUUCACGCUGAUCAGCCCUAGGCCUGGGGGCCGUGCCCUUGCAGCCACUCUGAAGCCAGUGCCCAGCCUUGUGCCUGGGAGACCAGGGAGGCUGGGGAGGGAGGCCGGGGAAGCUGACUGCACGGCAGCUGAGGUCACAGCUGCUUGUGGAGAGAAGCUUCAAGUUGACAUCACUGUGAGCUAAAACCGUGGCUACCCUCCGGAUAACAAAGCAAGCUAUUGGCAGGAAGAAAGGGAAAAUUACGAAAAUUAAACAAGGCAAGCAUUAAUGCCAUAUUGCCUUUUCUCUCUGAAAUGCAAGAUUUGGCAAAGCCAAUUUCCACAUUUGGCCGUGGCCUCUCAGGCUUCUGUGCCAUCCCCGUGGAACGUGGUGCUGAUCCUGGGUCUCCCCUCUCCAGCCCUGGCUUUGUCCACUUUGCCCCUCCUGGGCUCCGCCUUGCCCUCCUCCUGCGGCUGCCAUGCCCGUCCUGAACUCAGCUCCUCUCUGACCCCACGCACGGCUCCUCUCUGACCCCACGCACGGCUCCUCUCUGACCCCACGCACGGCUCCUCUCUGACCCCACGCACGGCUCCUCUCUGACCCCACGUCCGGGGCUGCGUCCCGCCUCGGCUGCUCUCACUGCAGCCGUUUCUUCACAGGGUGAUCCUCACAGAAACACUCAAAGCCUUCUGUUACGUACAAAGGACCGCGUGUCAGUAAUCUACAGCCAUUUACCAGUUACCAAGAAAACACGGACGUUUCCACUAAAAAUCGCAAACGUUUCUUUCAAGCAAGGAGCGCCCUGCGCCAGAGGCUGUGGGAGGAGUGAGGAGUCUGGGUUCGUUCCAGCCGCACUCGUGCUGCACGGCAGCUCAGCAGCAGGUCUGCUCCUCUGUGCUGAACUGAAGGGAGCCGAGUGCUCGCCCUCCGUCCGGGCCGGAGCUCAGAUCGUCCUGCCUCACGUACAAGAAGUAACCAGUUCUUUGGCCUUCAGACUCCCUGUUUCACUGGGGACAUGGAUGAAGCUGGAAACCAUCAUUCUCAG
rnacentral:lncRNA from 1 species